CGCCUCCUCUCGUUUCCUCUCCCCCACUCGGAAGCAGCACACCGCUGCUCAACUGGAGGCGCGACAAACGUCCGCGCGGAGGCGAUGCGGCAGCGGCGGCUGGCGGCGCGCAUCCUCGAUUUAGUCCAGCGGCGGCUGGCCGCACGCGCCGGCGGCUGGCCGCACGGGCCGGCGGCUGAAGGCAUGUACCGAGCGGUGGCGAGGGCUGGCAGUGCGCACCCUAGAGGCUCAGGUGAGCCUGCCGGGGCGGCGGCGAGCAGGCCAUGAACGGGGCGGUGGCGCCUCGUUUCUUUUCUCCCUCGAGAUCUUGCACGGGAUUGGCCCAAUCCUCACCUCCCGCGCCCUCUUCUGCCUCCCUGCCUCGUCUCCUUCCAUCCUCGUUCUUUAGUUUUAGCCAUGGAGGACGCGGAUCAAGUGGCAGGGCAGCACAGGGCUAAGAUUUGUUCAGGGAACGGAGGAGGAUGGUUGCGCCACCAUACGUGCUUCCACGACUGCCUACACCACUUCUCGUCUUCCUCCUAGCCAAAAUCAUGCCUAAAGGGUUGUACAGGGUUUGGGCUGGAGCAUUGGAGCUCCGACGCUUGCGCCGCUGUGCCCCAAAGUCGUGAAAUGGCUUCUACUGGAUUCUAGAAAAUAAUAAGCAAGCCAAGUGACUGAUUUUUGUAGACAGAUGUUCACAGGGCUAGAAGGUUAAGCCAGGAACAACCUUAGUUGAGCCAUUACUGCAUAAAUAUGAAGGAUUCUAGAAAAUAAUAAGCAAGCCAAGUGACUGAUUUUUGUAGACAGAUGUUCACAGGGCUAGAAGGUUAAGCCAGGAACAACCUUAGUUGAGCCAUUACUGCAUAAAUAUGAAGGUACUUUUGUCGGAAGGUAGUGAGAAUGACAGUGGAGCUUGAGAAAUCUUUUACGGAAGGGAUUUACAGCCAUAAUCAAUGGUCAUCAAAUUGUACCACAUGAGACAUAUCUCCAUUUCAUAGAUCUUGCUGAAAAUAUUAGGUGGCUGAAUUUACCGACAAGAAGCCACGGGGCAGUGCGGACAAGAAUCAGCAGGGGCGGCGGUUCUCCGCCUAGAGGAGUUAGAUGGGAGAGGAAGGAGGGCGGCGACAGGAGGGAAGAGCAGGUGGCCUUGGUUCAUGGAGAAUGACUGAUGCCCAUCCGGAUCCCAUCUACCUUCUUUUUUGAUGAGAAGCUCAUCUUGCUUGUCUUCUCCUUCCCUGCUGCAUCCCUUGCCGCUUCACUCCUCUUCAUCCCCAAGAACUAGCUUUGCAGAUGUUUGGCUACGACUUGUAAUGUUUGGGUUUGGGAGGCGGUAGACUAUUCCGCUAGCUAUGACAACAUCCAACAUUGGUGCACGAAGAUUCAGUGGUUGUUUCCGCCGUAUUAUUUAUGCCUAUGUCGAUGCUAUCAUCGUACUGCCAUGCUUUAUUCUACUGACGUCUUCGUCCGAAGAUGUUGGAGCUGAUGAGAUGAUCAAGUUUGGGUUGAGGAGUGUCCUUUUCUGGCUAAUAAUGCAAAGAGGAAUAAAAAAAGCAGGAAGGUGCAUGAAUAAGAGAACAUGGAGGCAUAUGUCAUAGUGGCUGAUUUGGAGGAAGGAUUAAUAUUUUCUAGCAUCCCAUUAUGCUUGAAUAAGAACAAUAGAUUUAUUUCCGUAUUGGCAGCAAACACGCAUGCUGAUUGGCUAUUCAACAUUAUCUUGCAGUUCACUGUCAUGGCAAUGAAACUUCAGUUCACUAGACUGUUACCUAUGAUGAGCCUGCCAUCGUGUGCUGCCCAAUGAAAGCUGGUUCGGUCUUAUAAUUGUUUCUCAUGUGGAUGUUGACUAUUCGAUGAUAUAAUAUAUGUACAAAUAGUUCCUGAAUGUAUUUAGAUUCAGAGUUUCAGACACCAUCAUGGACGGUCCUCCCUAUCUAGAUACAACAAGGUAUGCUCAGUUAUUGCACACUCUUGAAGGGGCUACACUCCCUUGUGUAAAAAUCCUCCUACGUUGUAUGCAUGUCUUCUGUAUACACACUGUAUGUACAUACUUUGUACCACAAAUAUUGCAGGGUGUGUUGUGGCUUAGUAAGCUUGACUGUAACUUGCAGCUUGAAGAGUUUCAAUUCAUGUCCGUGGUGAUGGAUUUUUUAAAUUUCUUAUUCAUGUAUAUAAUGUAAUGUAUUGUCGGGUGUUUUGUCACUCAGUGCACUUUGUAGCAUGUAGCAUUUAGAUGGUCAACUAUUCUCAGGUAAAUCAGGGCAGUCAAAAUCUGUUAACCAACUCAAUGGUAAAUUAUAUGUUACUAACACAGUUGU